AUGGAGCCGACCUUGAAAUACCACCCUUUAAUGUUUGAUGUUCUAACGUUGACCCGUAAUCCGGGUUGCGGACAGUGUCUGGUGGGUAGUUUGACUGGGGCGGUCUCCUCCUAAAGAGUAACGGAGGAGCACGAAGGUUGGCUAAUCCUGGUCGGACAUCAGGAGGUUAGUGCAAUGGCAUAAGCCAGCUUGACUGCGAGCGUGACGGCGCGAGCAGGUGCGAAAGCAGGUCAUAGUGAUCCGGUGGUUCUGAAUGGAAGGGCCAUCGCUCAACGGAUAAAAGGUACUCCGGGGAUAACAGGCUGAUACCGCCCAAGAGUUCAUAUCGACGGCGGUGUUUGGCACCUCGAUGUCGGCUCAUCACAUCCUGGGGCUGAAGUAGGUCCCAAGGGUAUGGCUGUUCGCCAUUUAAAGUGGUACGCGAGCUGGGUUUAGAACGUCGUGAGACAGUUCGGUCCCUAUCUGCCGUGGGCGCUGGAGAACUGAGGGGGGCUGCUCCUAGUACGAGAGGACCGGAGUGGACGCAUCACUGGUGUUCGGGUUGUCAUGCCAAUGGCACUGCCCGGUAGCUAAAUGCGGAAGAGAUAAGUGCUGAAAGCAUCUAAGCACGAAACUUGCCCCGAGAUGAGUUCUCCCUGACUCCUUGAGAGUCCUGAAGGAACGUUGAAGACGACGACGUUGAUAGGCCGGGUGUGUAAGCGCAGCGAUGCGUUGAGCUAACCGGUACUAAUGAACCGUGAGGCUUA
rnacentral:rRNA from 1 species